CGGCAUGGUCCGUAGAUCUUCUGAGCAUUCACGACUCUUACUCAGUGAAUGAUCGAGGCCCCCAAAGCUUCUCUUUAUUCUUUGAUGAUUCCGAAGGAUCCUCACAGCUACCAUGAACUCGGUGCUAUGUUCCAGCCAUGACGUAAUGCUGUCUACUUAUCUAACAACGCUGUGAAAGAGAAAGUCCCAUCCCACUUCUCCAGGCGAGGAAGUGGAAGCCCCAGCUCUCACCCUGCCUGACCUCACACAGCUCCUGGCCAGGACCCGUGAGGCCGGACACCAUUCACUCCCACCCACCACUAACCAGCUCGACGCUAACCAGGCUGCCCCUUGCUGGGUGGUUCUUGGGAGGGCGCCCACCUCCGGGGUCAAAUAAGGUCGGGGAAUUGUUCACACUAAGGUCAAACACUAUGAAGCAGAGCAACCAAGGUGACUUUCCUGUCUUAGGAAGACCAGAUACAUGGAGCCGAUCUCCACGGGAAAGCUGUGUGGCUAGACGAUGGGGCCUCAUGAAGUGUUUGGAUGACAACUUCCUCACUGGGGGAGCCUACAAGUUGGGCCUGUGGGUUUUACUCACCUCCCUUCUGAUAAGGUAGGGGUGAGAUUAGGCCUGCAAGCAUCAAAGUGCAUUCAGGGUCCCCAUGCCUGAGGGUCAGCUGGCUGCAUCCCCUUCUAGAAGCCCCAGCGUGUGAACAAGCCUCUGGUAAGGCCUUGCACUAUGACUGCCUGGAACAAAGGAAUGCUAGGACCACCAACAUUGAUCCCCAUUUUCUGCUUCUGGGAAACAAGUCUCCAUCUGAGGGAAAUCUUUGGCUCUGGGGACUUGUGACACCUGAGACUUUGAACUCUCAAGGAAGCUGGGCACACAGUUGGCCACCUCAGGCCAGGGGGGUGGAGACAAGCUUUACUUCAGCUUUACUGGCCUUGCAGUGGGCUCCUCUCAGCCUCCUCACCAGCCAUCUCGGAAAGAAGACAAGUGGGCCCGAGACAGAGGUCGUGGACAGGACCUGGGGGCUCUAAGUGGCCACCACCUGGGGGGGUCUGUGCCAAUGUGUCCUCCCACUCUAGCUGAAAACAGAAAUUAUAAACAUUUUGUGUUUCUCCCAUAAUUUGUUUGGAUUUGUUUUACUAUGAAAGUCAACGACUAGGAGCAUGGGGAGAGCACGCAACUCUUGGUCUUGGGGGUUGUGAGAUCAAGCCUCUUGUUGGGUAGAGAGAUUACUUUAAAAUAAAAUCUUAAAAAAAAAACAAGUAAUAACCAGAGGAAGAUUAUUCAAGUUAGUUGUGAACACGUUCUUGUACUGGCCAAUUAAGAGAAACCCCAAACACACCCCAGUGUGAGAGGCAAGGA